GCGCCCGUAGUUUAAUGGCCAAAACAUAGUGCUCAUAACGCUAAAGAUGUGGGUUCGAAUCCCACCGGGCGCACCA
rnacentral:tRNA from 1 species